UCCCCGGUAGCUCAGUUGGUAGAGCAGCCGGCUGUUAACCGGCUGGUCGCAGGUUCGAGUCCUGCCCGGGGAG
rfam:Nitrospirae bacterium RBG_19FT_COMBO_58_9 rbg_19ft_combo_scaffold_1087, whole genome shotgun sequence.